ACCUAAUAGAUACCCUGGUAGUCCACGCCCUAAACUAUGUCAACUAGUUGUUGGGAGAGUUAAAUCUCUUAGUAAACGCAGCUAAACGCGUGAAGUUGACCGCCUGGGGAGUACGGCCGCAAGGUUAAAACUCAAAGGAAUUGACGGGGACCCGCACAAGCGGUGGAUUAUGUGGAUUAAUUCGAUGCAACGCGAAAAACCUUACCUACCCUUGACAUGUACGGAACGGGGCAGAGACGUCCCGGUGCCCGAAAGGGAACCGUAACACAGGUGCUGCAUGGCUGUCGUCAGCUCGUGUCGUGAGAUGUUGGGUUAAGUCCCGCAACGAGCGCAACCCUUACCAUUAGUUGCUACAUUCAGUUGGGCACUCUAAUGGGACUGCCGGUGACAAACCGGAGGAAGGUGGGGAUGACGUCAAGUCCUCAUGGCCCUUAUGGGUAGGGCUUCACACGUAAUACAAUGGCCGGUACAGAGGGUUGCCAACCCGCGAGGGGAGCCAAUCCCAGAAAGCCGGUCGUAGUCCGGAUUGUUCUCUGCAACUCGAGAGCAUGAAGUCGGAAUCGCUA
rnacentral:rRNA from 1 species